UUUUUUUUUUUUUUCCUGGUUUUGGGUUUUUAACACUUUUUAGUAUUUUUGAAAAUUUCUACUUUGGCCAUGUGUCAAAUUGGGGCUACAGCUGCCAGCCUACACCACAGGCACAGCAGUGCAGGAUCCGAGCCACAUCUGCAACCUACACCACAACUCAUGGCACUGCUGGAUUCUUAACCCACUGAGCAAGGCCAGGGAUGGAACCUGCAACCUCCUGGUUCCUAGUCAGGUUCAUUUGGGCAGUGCCACAAUGGGAACUCCUCAAGGUCUUUGUAAGGAAACUGUUUUCCUGAAAAACCUGUGUUGCCUCUUUGCUUUACUUUGGAUUUGUUUCAUUGUAACCCAGGUAGGGAAGGGGCAGAGGUAAAUGCCAAUAUAAAAUAAAAGUGGCCGUGAGUUGACGACAUUACAGUUGUGUGAGGCAUAUAUCAGGUGCUCUGUACUAUUUUUAUUUUGUGUAUGUUUAAAACUUUCCAUAAUAAAAAGUUAGAAAUAUAUAUAUCAUAGGCUUAUUAGUCAAGCUCCACUCAGGCUGCAGAAAACACACCACUUAUUGGAACAGAGAGAACAAAGUAUCAUUAACUGCUAAAGGGUAAACUGAGAACUCUGAGGUGAAAGGAGAUUAACAAAUAGCAGCUACCUUGAAGAAACAAAGGGAAAGCCUUAGAAACCUAAGGGAAGGGCCUGUGGCGCCAGAAAGAGCACAGAGCGCUAAGGAAGGAGCUGGCUGGCUGCUGGUGGAGGAGGAAGGAGCAUGGGCUGUUUUUGCAACUGUUGUAAAAGCUGAUUUAGCUGUUCCUACCAAAGGAACAGCUGCUGCCAGAGUAAAAGCCUUGCCUGGGUGGUGAGGCAGAGGAACAGAAAGCAGACAGAAAGGAGUAAGUCCCUUCUCCCUCCUCUGGUCUUGCAGUUUCCCUCUAGGGCUCCCUAUUGGAAAGCCUAGCAAGGAAGCAGGAGGCAGAGCAGAAAUGUCUGCAGAGUCCCAGCCUCGGCAUCACAAAGCUGAAGGCAGGUAGAUGGAUACCGCGUCCUGACUGACCUCAUUAGAACCAGGUAGGUUCUGGCUCCUGGAAAUAGCUGCCUGGCCUCUGGGCCUCGCCUAAACCUCUACGGAUGUUUAAAAAAGAGAAGAAGAAGAGUUCCCGUCGUGGCUCAGUGGUUAAUGAACCUGACCAGUACCCAUGAGGACUCAGGUUUGAUCCCUGGCCUCGCUCAGCGGGUUAAAGAUCCAGCAUUGCCGUGAUCUGUGGCUCCGAUCCCACAUGGCUGUGGUGUAGGCCAGCAGCUACAGCUCUGAUUCGACCCUAGCCUGGGAACCUCCAGAUGCCGCAGAGGUGGCCCCAAAUAGACAAAAGAUUAAAAAAAAAAAAAAAAAGAAAAGAAAGAAAAAGAAAAAAGAAACUUGACCGUCCUUUUCUAAGAGUCACUAAAAGAAAAUGUCUCUCUUAAAGCCUUUAUAUUUUGGCGAGUACUGCAGUCUUAAAGGGGAGUUUAAAACUGAAGAGAAAGAUGUAAACCUCCUGGAAUCUCUGUCAUCAUUAAAGCUGUCCUCUCCAAAGGCGAAAAUACUGUCACUGUACUUUCAGUGGCAAAACUGGUUGCCUAUUCAGAAGUAAAAUGGAGAACUGGAGAAGGGAUGGCUUCGCUGUACCCUCUCUGUACCUUAAAGAUUUUUGUACCUGUGAAUAACUGCCCAAUCAAAAAGCGACUAAAAUUUUGCAGGGAAAGCCAUUGUCUUAGAUCAGGCUUCCCAGUGGACGCUCAUGAGGGAAUUUGCCUUCGCGUUUACUGCGACUCCACUAAUUCUUGGCGAUAUUACUGUGAGAAAAUAAAAGGAGCAGGAUUAAGCUAGAGGGAGCAGUUGAACAGCCAUGCAGUUCAAGCAAAUUGUUGUUAAUGACACAGAAAAUCCUGGAGCUGGAAUGGCCCUCCAAGGUUGUCCCAAAUGAAGGCAAAGCAGCUGGGCAGUUCCCCCACUUCCACCAGUCACAGGCAGUAGGCUGCCUGCUGAAAAGGGUUUGACCUUGGAUGCAGCAGCUCCUUUUGGCCAAGUCCAGUUCCUGGGAAGAGACUACUGAGCAAUGAUCGGUCGGUACUCUGGGGAGCUGAAAGAAUAAGUGACUCCGUUUUGAAAAGGGCGUUGGAACUAUGCACUACAGCUUAUACUAUUUACCAAUGGUCCUCAAAUUUUAGUGUGUUCCAGAAUCCCCCGAAGGACUCGACGGGCCACAAUUUCUGAUUCAGUAGGUGUGGGUUGGGGGGCAAAACCUGCAUUUCUGACAAAUUCUGGGUGGUGCUGAUGCUGCUGUCUAGGGAUUACCCUUUGAGCAUCCUUAAACUAGAUCUUCCUGGGUUAAAUCCAGCAAAGCCGAAUAACUUAUCAGCAUAUGUAGAUGCUAAUACCCAAGAUUCUCUGGUUAGAUCUGCUCCUUUUGAGUUCAUCCUGCUUUCUUUGCAAUCCUAGUUCACUGUAAACUAGACUUUAUACACUAACACACUUGCACCAAGGGAGACCAACACAGUUCAGCAAGAUAAGGGCUGAUGAUACACUGGGUGGUACAGGGCACUUAAUUCAAAUCAGGGAUGUCAAGGAAGACGUAAUGAAGAAAGUGAUGUCUGUGUUGGCCCUUGAAGGAUGAUUAAAAGUUAGCUGGCACGGAGUUCCUGUCGUGGCGCAGUGGUUAACGAAUCUGACUAGGAACCAUGAGGUUGCGGGUUCAGUCCCUGGCCUUGCUCAGUGGGUUAACGAUCCGGCAUUGCUGUGAGCUGUGGUGUAGGUUGCAGACAUGGCUCGGAUCCCGCGUUGCUGUGGCUCUGGUGUAGGCCGGAGACUACAGCUGCGAUUCGACCCCUGGCCUGGGAACCUCCAUAUGCCGCGGGAGUGCCCAAGAAAUAGCAAAAAAAAAAAAAAAAAAAAAAAAAAAAAGUUAGCUGGCACGAUUAAGUCAGGCAGAGAAAUACAAAUAUCACAUGAGAUCAUGAAUAUGUGGAAUCUUAUAAAAAAUGCUUCCAAAAAUGAUGCAAAAGAACUUAUUCACAAAACAGAAACAGAAUCAAAAGAUUUUGAAACAGAACUUAUGAUCACCAAAGGGGAGAAGUUGAGGGGGAGGGGUGGAUUGGCACAUACACGCUACUGUGUACAAAAUCGAUCAGCAACAAGGACCAUAUACACACUGCUAUAUACAAAAUCAAUCAGCAACAAGGAUCUAGUAUAUAGCUCGGGGAAAUCUAUUCAAUACUCUGUGAUAGCCUAUGUGGGGAAAGAAUCUGAAAAAGAAUGGAUAUAUAUGUAUGGUUGAGUCACUUUGCUCUACGCCUGAAAUUAACACAACGUUGUAAGCCACAAACACUCCAGUGAAAUUUAUUUUUUAAAAAAUUAAAAAUUAGGAGUUUCUAUCGUGGCUCAGUGGUUAGCGAACCCCACCAGCAUCCAUGAGGACGCAGGUUCGAUCCCUGACCUCACUCAGUGGAUCUGGCGUUUCCGUUUGCUGUGGUUCUGGUGCAGGCCAGCGGCUACAGCUUCGAUUAGAGUUUCCUAGCCUGGGAAACUCCAUAUGCUGCGGGAGCGGUCCUAAAAAGACAGAAAGACCAAAAACAAAAAUUAAAAAUUAAAAAAGGAGAAGUUGGAGUUCCUGCUGUGGCGCAAUGGGACCAGUGGUGUCUCUGGAAUGCUGGGAUGCAGGUUCUAUCCCCACCCAGAACAGUGGGUUAAAGGAGGAUCCAUAUUGCCUCAGCUUCGGUGUAGAUCACAACUGUGGCUCCAAUCUGACCCCUGGCCCCUGAACUCCAUGAGCCAUGAGUCGGCCAAAAAAACCAAAAAAGUUAGCGAGGGAGAAACUGAGAUGGAGGACUCAGCAACAGCAAAAGCCUGUGCAAGGGCAAGAUGGAGCUUCAGGUGUGGUCGAGAAGCCACAAAACAUGAGAUGAGCAGGGGCCAGGGAAAUGCAGGGCUCUCCAUGCCAUGCUAAGGAUUUGGAUUUUGUUCGAAAGUCAAAGAGGUUAAAAGGAAAAGUAAGAUUUGUAUUUGAGAUUGCAACGAAGGAGAAAAGGGACAGAACAUUAGUUAGCAGGUUUUAACUAAUCCAGGAGAAAAAUGACAAAGGCUAAACUGAAUCAGCGGCAAUACACACAGCGCCCACACACACACACAAAAGCACGAUUGGAUAUUCAGGAAGUAGAGGGAUCUAGUCGAGAAUUACCCAGCCACACUGGCCUGUUUCUAAGUCCCUUCAUUGUGACAAGUCUUUUUCCCUUGAGAGCCUUUAUACUUGCCCUUUCUCGGUGGAACACUGCUAAAUUACACCCUCCCUAAAUUACAUUCCUCGGCCUCUGUCUCUCAAAGGACCCUGCUCUCUUCCAUGGACUUGCAUUGAUUAUCAUUCACACAGUGGCCUGUCUCCUUCUUCAACAUCUGACCCCUGCUGUCAAGGACGGUUAGGGCACGGACAGGCCAAGGUUGCCAGCCCCAGAAUCCUAGCACAGUGCCUCCCA
ensembl:lncRNA